AUUGAACGCUGGCGGCAGGCCUAACACAUGCAAGUCGAGCGGAUGACGGGAGCUUGCUCCUUGAUUCAGCGGCGGACGGGUGAGUAAUGCCUAGGAAUCUGCCUGGUAGUGGGGGACAACGUUUCGAAAGGAACGCUAAUACCGCAUACGUCCUACGGGAGAAAGCAGGGGACCUUCGGGCCUUGCGCUAUCAGAUGAGCCUAGGUCGGAUUAGCUAGUAGGUGAGGUAAUGGCUCACCUAGGCGACGAUCCGUAACUGGUCUGAGAGGAUGAUCAGGCACACGGGAACGGAGACACGGUCCAGACUCCUACGGGAGGCAGCAGUGGGGAAUAUUGGACAAUGGGCGAAAGCCUGAUCCAGCCAUGCCGCGUGUGUGAAGAAGGUCUUCGGAUUGUAAAGCACUUUAAGUUGGGAGGAAGGGCAGUAAGUUAAUACCUUGCUGUUUUGACGUUACCGACAGAAUAAGCACCGGCUAACUCUGUGCCAGCCGCCGCAGUAA
rnacentral:rRNA from 1 species